rnacentral:lncRNA from 1 species
CUGGCUGGAGACUUCCUCAGUCUUGCGGACCUUAACCAUGUGUCUGUCACCCUGUGCUUGGCGGCUACACCCUACGCGUCUCUGUUCGACGCGUACCCGCAUGUGAAGGCCUGGUGGACUGACCUGCUGGCGAGGCCGUCCGUCCAGAAGGUCGCUGCGCUGAUGAAGCCAUGAUCUUAGUUUCUGGCGCUCGUUCGUCGCGAAAUAAGCCGAGGUGUGUUUCCCCCGAUGUGUGCCUGUCCGAGUGUGUGUUCUUGUGAUGUCUCCUCGUGUUGAAUGUUCAGGCUUGUGCUUGCGAUCCUGUCUAGAUCUUGUACUGAAAUGAGCAUUCCUAUGCUCUGGUUUAAUAAUAAAUUGUGCCCAGAGAUUAUCUCAGCUUCAAUAUUUUCUCAUCUGUUGCUUCGAUGAUCUGUCCAUUAGCAAUUUAG